UGCCUUGGGGGGGGCUGACGGCACCCUUAUGGCACUCUGUAUGUGGGGGAUUUUCCGGCACUUUUUCCCGACGCUUUUCUACCUUCUCUUCUAUGGUGCCUUGGGGGGUCUGAUGGCACCCUUAUGGCACUCUUGUUGGGGGAUUUUCCAGCACCCUCACCCAACACUUUUCUACCUUCUCUUCUAUGGUGCCUUGAUGUGGAGAUGGCACCCUUAUGGCACUCCUAUUGGGUACUCUUUUGGGGGGACUUUCCAGCACUCUUUCUAGGCAUUUCAUCUAGUCUUCCAUGGCACCCUUUCUUGGGCACUCUUUCUUGGGCACCCUUUCUCAGCCACUCUUUCUGGGACACCUUUCUCAACUCUGCUAGGCUAGGCUCUUAUAGGCCCUGGCUGGCACUCUAUAGGCUCUGGGUAGGCUUAGGUAGGCAGGGUCAGAUUUUUCCUAGGCCUGUAUUUUAUCUAGGUAGACUUGGGUUGGCAGUGACAGGCUACUCUUGGCAUUGCAUAGGCUUAGGUUGGCAACUUGCGGCACUUAUUGGCUGUGAAAUAGCUUCCGAAGAUGCUGUAUCUUUUCCGCUCACCCUAAUGGCACAAUCCCAGCCUAGGGUAUGCUUGUAAGUUUCUCGACACUCCACUAAUCCACCCUUCCGUAAGUCCGCAGUCCUCUCUCUCCACCUGACUGGGCUCGUAAUAUUAAUAAGUCGUUCACAGCUUACACAGGGAUUGCAUAGUCAGGUCAGGUCAGGGGGUCAGCGCUCCCUUACCCAUGAUCCAUAUGUGUCAUGAUCACUAGUAACAAGACCACCACCAGCGACAAGGGCGGUGCGUGCGUGCGUGCGUGUGUGUUUACGAUGCCAGGUCAACUUUACGGUACUUGUGGUGUGGCCCUCAGCAUGCCGAUACCCUCACAGUGCCAGAUGAAGAGAUGAGGCACUGUGCGUUGAUAUGUAUGGUAUCGACCCUUUGCGCCCUUUUCACCGAGCCUUAACCAGUACAGAGGCUUUGGAAUAGGUGCUGGUUGUCUAUUCACUAACUCAGCACUCUAUACAGCUCAGCACUUGUCACAGCACCCAGCGCCUCGUACCCUUUUCAGCCUCAGAAAUCAGCACCCUUUCUCAGCCUUGCUCAUAACCUCAAGCACUUUUUUCAGCCCUUGCAAAGAGUUCAAAUGCCCUUCGUGGCCUUCUUCCUUCCUUCCUUCCUUUAUGUGUUUAUUUAUUUGUCUUCCUUCCUUCUUUCUUUUCUUUUUCUGUUACUUUCUUGAUUCCUUCCUUCCUUCCUUUCUCUGUUUUCCUUCCUUCCUUCUUUCUUUCCUUUCUCUUUUUUCUGUUACUUUCUUCCUUCCUUUCUUUUUCUCUUCCUUCCCUUCUCUUUCUAUCUCUUCCUUCCUUUCUUUUGUUCUUUUCUCUCUCUCUUCCUUCUUUCCUUCCUCACCCUCUUCCCCUUCUAACUCAAAUCCUUCCUUUCUUUUCCUCUCUUCCUUCCUUCCUUCCUUCCUUCCUUUCGUUCUUCUCUCUCUCUUCCUUCUUUCCUUCCUCACCCUCUUCCCCUUCUAACUCAAAUCCGUCCUUUCUUUUCCUCCCCUCUUCCUUCCUUCCUUCCCCAGCACUCGGCACUCCCCUCAGCCUCAGCACAGCAGCACCACAGACAAAGGCACUAUCGCAACCCUCGCUAUACUGGCAGCUAUGAGGUGGCACUUGGAGGGAGUGUGGGUGCCAAGUCUCUGGCAGGUCGACUGGCUGGCUGGCUUGGCUUGGCUUGGCACUCAACCUCUAUACCUCUAUGCCCUCUAGGACCUUGGAUUUUUAUUUUUUUUUAUUUUUUUUUUAGGUCUACUCCUAUUGCUCCGGUAGACUUGCUUGAGGGGCCUGGGUGGUAGUUGGCCCCAGCCCGUAUUGGUGCAGGCAGGUGUUUUUAUAGUGGCGCCAUCUUCUCUUGGCCUUUUUAUGCCCGGGAACCCAUACCCAUAUUUUUUUCGUUUCUUCCUUAUUUUUUUUUUUCUCAAUGCGAGGUGGAUAUGCGAUUUUCUUCUUUUUUGUGUUUUUCUUGUUUUCUUUUUCUUCGUAUCAAUGUCGCACUUCUUCUUAUGCCCGCUACUCAUGCCCAGGAACCAUACCCAUGAUUUUCUUCUUUUUUUUUUUUCAAUACGAGGUGGAUAUACGAUUUUCUUCUUUUUUUUGUGUUUUCUUGUUUUCUUUUUCUUCGUAUCAAUGCCGCACUUUGUCUUAUGCCCGCUACUCAUGCCCAGGAACCAUACCCAUGAUUUUCUUCUUUUUUCUUCUUCAAUGCGAGGUGGAUAUACGAUUUUCUUCUUUUUUUGUGUUUUUCUCGUUUUCUUUUUCUUCCUAUCAAUGCCGCACUUUGUCUUAUGCCCGCUACUCAUGCCCGGGAACCAUACCCGUGAUUUUUAUUUUCUUCCUUUCUUCUUCAAUAUGAGGUGGAUAUGCGAUUUUCUUCUUUUGUGUGUUUUUCUUGUUUUCUUUUUCUUCAUAUCAAUGUCUCACUUUGUCUUAUGCCCGCUACUCAUGCCCGGGAACCAUACCCAUGAUUUUCUUCUUUUUUCUUCUUCAAUGCGAGGUGGUACGAUUUUCUUCUUUUUUUGUGUUUUUCUUGUUUUCUUUUUCUUCGCAUCAAUGUCGCACUUUGUCUUAUGCCCGCUACUCAUGCCCAGGAACCAUACCCAUGAUUUUCUUCUUUUUUCUUCUUCAAUGCGAGGUGGUACGAUUUUCUUCUUUUUUUGUGUUUUUCUUGUUUUCUUUUUCUU